rnacentral:lncRNA from 1 species
AGAGCGGCGAAGCGAUGAGAUGUUUUCAGAUUCAUCUAUUUAUUUAAGGAAGAAGAAAAAAAAAAAAAAAAAAAAAAAAGAACAGACAAAAACCGCUCCUGCACUGCCGGCCCAGGCCCAGCGGGCUGGGGUCUCCCUCAGGCGAUAACACAGCCGCCCUUCUCCUUGAAGGGGUUCUUCUCCUCCGGGACGCCCUUCACCAGCGGGUCUUCUCCCGAGCGCUCCUCGAUGUAGUUCUUGAUCUCCUCGGAGCACUUGGACACCGGCUGCCUCUCCAGCUUCACUUCUUUCCGGAGCUGCUCCACUUCCAUUUUCAGUUUGUCCUUCUCGCUCAGAUCCUCGAUGUUGAUCGCCGGCAUGGUGUGCGCCGGUGCCGCCGGGCUGCUCCGCGGCGACCGCUUCCUCCCCACCGCGCCGGCACCCUGCCCCGCGCCGCCCGGCCUUUAAACUCCGAGUUAAUCCCCUCUAAUCGGAUUACGGGCCCGCCCGGCACCGCGCUCGGGACGUUCAGACUGCGUGGCCCCAGCGCCCCGCAUCCGGCGGGCUGCCGGCACCCGCUCCCCUCCUCGCCCCGUGUGGCAGAGGCAGCCGGGGGCUGCCCAGAACUCAGCCCUCUCCCCUGCUCCUUCUGUACCUCAGUGCUGCGUGGUCGUGUGCGACUGGCGUGCUGAGAGAGGUGAGCUGAUCGCAGCAGGUGCUUUUCUUGGGCACAUUCCCCCGAAGUUCUGUGUUAA